UGCAAAUGAUGUUUUUCUCACGAUGGUCUUCCAAGUUGAUCUUUGACGACACUGCCUAAUGGCUUCACUGAAGCAGCGCU